AUUGAACGCUGGCGGCAUGCCUUACACAUGCAAGUCGAACGGCAGCGGACCUUCGGGUGCCGGCGAGUGGCGAACGGGUGAGUAAUAUAUCGGAACGUACCUUUCAGUGGGGGAUAACGUAGCGAAAGUUACGCUAAUACCGCAUAUUCUGUGAGCAGGAAAGCAGGGGAUCGCAAGACCUUGCGCUGAUUGAGCGGCCGAUAUCAGAUUAGCUAGUUGGUGAGGUAAAGGCUCACCAAGGCGACGAUCUGUAGCGGGUCUGAGAGGAUGAUCCGCCACACUGGAACUGAGACACGGUCCAGACUCCUACGGGAGGCAGCAGUGGGGAAUUUUGGGACAAUGGGCGCAAGCCUGAUCCAGCCAUGCCGCGUGAGUGAAGAAGGCCUCGGUUGU
rnacentral:rRNA from 1 species